AGCCAGACUCCUACGGGAGGCAGCAGUGGGGAAUAUUGCACAAUGGGGGAAACCCUGAUGCAGCGACGCCGCGUGAGUGAAGAAGUAUUUCGGUAUGUAAAGCUCUAUCAGCAGGGAAGAAAAUGACGGUACCUGACUAAGAAGCCCCGGCUAACUACGUGCCAGCAGCCGCGGUAAUACGUAGGGGGCAAGCGUUAUCCGGAUUUACUGGGUGUAAAGGGAGCGUAGACGGCAUGGCAAGUCAGAUGUGAAAGCCCGGGGCUCAACCCCGGGACUGCAUUUGAAACUGUCAGGCUGGAGUGCAGGAGAGGUAAGUGGAAUUCCUAGUGUAGCGGUGAAAUGCGUAGAUAUUAGGAGGAACACCAGUGGCGAAGGCGGCUUACUGGACUGUAACUGACGUUGAGGCUCGAAAGCGUGGGGAGCAAACAGGAUUAGAUACCCGCGUAC
rnacentral:rRNA from 1 species